rnacentral:rRNA from 1 species
AAAGUGGAUUAGUGGCGCACGGGUGAGUAAUGCAUAGGUUAUGUGCCCCAUAGUCUGGGAUAGCCACUGGAAACGGUGAUUAAUACCGGAUACUCCUUACGAGGGAAAGUUUUUCGCUAUGGGAUCAGCCUAUGUCCUAUCAGCUAGUUGGUGAGGUAAUGGCUCACCAAGGCUAUGACGGGUAUCCGGCCUGAGAGGGUGAACGGACACACUGGAACUGAGACACGGUCCAGACUCCUACGGGAGGCAGCAGUAGGGAAUAUUGCUCAAUGGGCGAAAGCCUGAAGCAGCAACGCCGCGUGGAGGAUGAAGGUUUUAGGAUUGUAAACUCCUUUUGUUAGAGAAGAUU